rnacentral:tRNA from 1 species
GGGCGGUUAGCUCAGUUGGUUAGAGCAUCUGCCUUACACGCAGAGGGUCGCAGGUUCGAGCCCUGCACCGCCCACCA